AAAAAGGCUUUUAAAGCCACAAAUAUGACUUAAUAAGCUGUG
rfam:Xiphophorus maculatus strain JP 163 A Contig868.3, whole genome shotgun sequence.